rnacentral:rRNA from 1 species
AGCAGUAGCCGCGGGAAUACGUAGGUGGCAAGCGUUGUCCGGAAUUAUUGGGCGUAAAGCGCGCGCAGGCGGAUAGGUCAGUCUGUCUUAAAAGUUCGGGGCUUAACCCCGUGAUGGGAUGGAAACUGCCAAUCUAGAGUAUCGGAGAGGAAAGUGGAAUUCCUAGUGUAGCGGUGAAAUGCGUAGAUAUUAGGAAGAACACCAGUGGCGAAGGCAACUUUCUGGACGAAAACUGACGCUGAGGCGCGAAAGCCAGGGGAGCGAACGGGAUUAGAUACCCCUGUAGUCCCUGUCUCUUAUACC